rnacentral:rRNA from 1 species
UACGUAGGGGGCAAGCGUUGUCCGGAAUCAUUGGGCGUAAAGCGCGCGUAGGCGGCCCGGUAAGUCCGUUGUGAAAGUCAAAGGCUCAACCUUUGAACGCCGAUGGAUACUGCCGGGCUAGAGUCCGGAAGAGGCGAGUGGAAUUCCUGGUGUAGCGGUGGAAUGCGCAGAUAUCAGGAGGAACACCGGUGGCGAAGGCGGGAUCCUGGGCCAGUACUGACGCUGAGGAGCGAAAGCGUGGGGAGCAAACAGG